rnacentral:lncRNA from 1 species
CUGGAAUAGAAGAAACUUCAUAUAUUAUCUUAUCGCUAUAUUUGAAUUCUGUAGAAGUUGUUUCUGGACAGUCUAUGAAAAGUUCUUGCUGGCCACGGAGGAAGUAGGCAGCUGACAGAAAGUUCUGCAAUUGCCUGUGCCAAACUGUGUAAAGCAAGUACUUACAUCAAUUGGGAAGAUAAUGCUGCCAUUUUCCUACUUGUUCAGUCCGUGGUGGUUGAUCUUAAGAACCUGCUUUUUAAUCCAAGUAAGCCAUUCUCAAGGGGCAGUCAGCCUGCAGAUGUGGAUCUUAUGAUUGACUGCCUUGUUUCUUGCCUUCGUGUGAGCCCUCACAACAACCAAGUUUAAGAUCUGCCUGGUGCAGAAUUCACAUUCUACAUUUCACUAUGUGCUGGUAAAUUCACUCCAUCAAAUCAUCACCAAUGUAAGUCCAAUAGGCAUUGCUAAACUACUAAAAAAAAAAUUUCAUUAUUUUCUUUG